rnacentral:rRNA from 1 species
GACGAACGCUGGCGGCGUGCUUAACACAUGCAAGUCGAACGAUGAAGCCCAGCUUGCUGGGUGGAUUAGUGGCGAACGGGUGAGUAACACGUGGGUGAUCUGCCCUGCACUUCGGGAUAAGCCUGGGAAACUGGGUCUAAUACCGGAUAGGACCUCGGGAUGCAUGUUCCGGGGUGGAAAGGUUUUCCGGUGCAGGAUGGGCCCGCGGCCUAUCAGCUUGUUGGUGGGGUAACGGCCCACCAAGGCGACGACGGGUAGCCGGCCUGAGAGGGCGACCGGCCACACUGGGACUGAGACACGGCCCAGACUCCUACGGGAGGCAGCAGUGGGGAAUAUUGCACAAUGGGCGCAAGCCUGAUGCAGCGACGCCGCGUGAGGGAUGACGGCCUUCGGGUUGUAAACCUCUUUCAGUACCGACGAAGCGCAAGUGACGGUAGGUACAGAAGAAGCACCGGCCAACUACGUGCCAGCCGCCGCCGUAAGAC